rnacentral:rRNA from 1 species
UACGGAGGGAGCUAGCGUUGUUCGGAAUUACUGGGCGUAAAGCGCACGUAGGCGGCUAUUCAAGUCGGGGGUGAAAGCCCGGGCUCAACCCCGGAACUGCCCUCGAAACUAGGUAGCUAGAAUCUUGGAGAGGCGAGUGGAAUUCCGAGUGUAGAGGUGAAAUUCGUAGAUAUUCGGAAGAACACCAAGUGGCGAAGGCGACUCGCUGGACAAGUAUUGACGCUGAGGUGGCGAAAAGCGGUGGGGAGCAAACAGG